CCGUGCUAGACGGGGAGUUGGCGGUGCCCUGUAACCCGCAAUCCGCCAUAGCGGGGUUGAAGUCCGACCUGAGGUUUGAUCAAGUAAGGUCUGCCUUGUGAAAAUAGUGUUGACAAUUAGGUCCUACGCAAUGGAACGCUAUGAAUCUGGUCAGGUCCGGAAGGAAGCAGCCAUAAGUGGUCAUUUCUAUGUGCCGCGGGGUAGCCUAGUUUGAACUAGCUUUACAAGUUACGCUUGGUUGUUUAAAUCAAUGGUAGGUGCACGG
rnacentral:SRP_RNA from 1 species